AAGGAGCUGCUGACUGCAGUGUCCUGAGAGGGCGUGAUUCUUCCCCAGCCUCAGCAGCCGGAAGCCUCCAGAGCUGGCAGAGCAGAGGAGGCCCCGCCAGGAAAGCAUGUCUGUGGAGUCCGGCUGUCAGUUCCAUUAUCAGCCUGACUGAAGGCACUUGUGUCUGAAUCAUGAGCAGUAACUUGCCUGGAAUGUUAGCAGAAUGCGAGUUACCCGUUUAGAAGAGUUCUUUCCUGGAAGGACAACGCUCGAUCCUGUUCCGUUCCUUGGUGAUGGAUGCCGCGUCCUUGCUCACCUGGGAAAUGCAUCUCAUCUAAGCUGUCCUUCUGUGACACGUCACCCUGCUCAGCAAGGAAUCUGCUUCUGAGGCAGAGGUCCCUCCUGGCUUCACCUGCAGCAUUGGUGGGACAUCGUGUGUGGGUGACUUGGAGCCGGGGAACCCGACACCUCCUGAAACAUCCGUCCAGAGGACGAGUGACUGCACAUCAGCUCAAGGCAGAACUUUUGGCACCUCACUUUCUCACAGUUACUUACAUGGAAAACCGAAGAUCAAAUAAACUCAAAACCUCUUAGUCGACAACAUCGAAGACCAGAAAUGAUCCUCCCUCGUCUAUCAACCUGCAUGUGGACCACGGUUCCUUGUAAGAAACAGGUGUGUUCAGUGUCUGAAUUUCACGGAGGGUGAGGGCUGGUUGUAGAUUUGGGAUGACCACGUGAGCAGACUGCUGUUCUUGUCAUGAAGCAAAAUCACGUCCCGUGAACCAUUUGCAGCCACCAAAGCAGCUUCUUUCUACCCAGCGUGUUUGGUCCCCACAGCGUGGUGAGCUGUUGACUUACCCCCAUGAUGCAGUUGAAGAAAUGAGACUCAGAAACUUACCCAGAAUCAUACAGCUCAUCAAUGGCCUUGUCUUCUGGUCAACACCGUGACGUUUCAUUAGGCCGGGGUGACAGGCAAAAUUAUUCACAGGUAUAGCUGGACUCCUUAAGAGCUCAGUGUUUACUUUCAUUUCCCUCAAACUUUUGAGUUGUGGUAGACACAACACAAAACGCACUGCCAGGACGGUUUGGAGCGCACACAGCUCAGUGGCACUGAGCUCGUUCACACCGUGGGGCCCCCAUCCCCACCCUCCCCUCCAGAGCUCUCGGUGAGUAGGCUGGUUUUUGCACAAUUGAAGGUGUGAUUUGGAGGAGAGGCAGCAAACUGAUGUCUGGUGCAAAGGACGGGGCUCCCAGGCAUGGGGGUAGCCUUCUGGACCUGUGCAUCCAUCUUGCCUGGGGAGGGUUUCACCAACUUCUCGGCUCUGUCUUGAGGUCAAGGUGAUGAUGCAUGGAGGUGGCCGGCAUGCUAGGUGGGGAGACUGAGGUCCUGGCGGGUUGGGGAGGAUCAUGAUGAGUGAUGAGUGUUGGCUACUGUGGGCAGUGGGCAGGUGGGGGCGAGGGUGAGCGCAUGCGCCAUGUGUCUGCUGGUCCCAGACGGACGAGCGUCAGGUCAGGCCCCCGACUAGGAGACCUGAUCCCAAAGAGCAGCAAGCUGGUCCAAGGUCCCUGAGUGCCCUCGCCUGGGGCUGGCUUGGCCUUAGAGCCUGGAUUCAGGUCAGCCAGCCACCGUGGGAGAGCAGAGCCCAGGGCCUGCCAAUCCCUUAGAGCUAAGGGCAGGAGCUCCACAUUUGGAAUCCGAAAACCUCGGUCCCUGUCACCACAUGUGAGUCAAGUGGCUCAGAGCACCCAUUUCCUUGUCUGCAAGGUCGGAAGAACACCAGCCUGAUUAGGCAUGUGGUUCGUUCGAGGGUCAGAAUCUCUGAAGCAAAG